rnacentral:tRNA from 1 species
GGGGCGAUGGCGGAAUCCGGUAGACGCACCCGGCUCAGAACCGGACGCAUUCGUGCAUGAGAGUUCGAGUCUCUCUCGCCCCACCA